rnacentral:rRNA from 1 species
CUGCAGUCGAACGGGAGUUUAUUUAUAGCAAUAUGAGUGAACUCUAGUGGCGAAAGGGUGCGUAACACGUAGCUACCUACCUCGAAGUUGGGGAUAGCUCGGCGAAAGCCGGAUUAAUACCGAAUGUGAUCGUGAGAUCAAAGCUGGGGAUCGUAAGACCUGGCGCUUUGAGAUGGGGCUGCGGCCUAUCAGGUAGUUGGCGGGGUAAUGGCCCACCAAGCCUAAGACGGGUAGCUGGUCUGAGAGGACGACCAGCCACACUGGAACUGAGACACGGUCCAGACACCUACGGGUGGCAGCAGUCGAGGAUUUUUCUCAAUGGGGGAAACCCUGAGGGAGCGACGCCGCGUGAGGGAUGAAGGUCUUCGGAUUGUAAACCUCUGUCAUCUGGGAACAAUGUAAUCUACCUAACACGUGGAUUAUUGAUAGUACCGGAAGAGGAAGCAGUGGCUAACUCUGUGCCAGCAGCCGCGGUAAUACAGAGACUGCAAGCGUUGUUCGGAUUCAUUGGGCGUAAAGGGUGCGCAGGCGGCUCGUUAAGUCGGAUGUGAAAUCUCACAGCCUAACUGUGAUAGGUCAUUCGAAACUGGCGGGCUUGAGGACUGGAGAGGAGACUGGAAUGGUCGGUGUAGCGGUGAAAUGCGUAGAGAUCGACCAGAACACCGGUGGCGAAGGCGGGUCUCUGGACAGUUCCUGACGCUCAGGCACGAAAGCCAGGGGAGCAAACGGGAUUAGAUACCCCGGUAGUCCUGGCCCUAAACGGUGUUCACUUGGUGUGCGGGGAGUCGACCCCCUGCGUGCCGCAGCUAACGCGAUAAGUGAACCGCCUGGGGAGUACGGCCGCAAGGCUAAAACUCAAAGAAAUUGACGGGGGCCCGCACAAGCGGUGGAGCAUGUGGCUUAAUUCGAUGCAACGCGAAGAACCUUACCUGGCCUUGACAUGCUGGUAGUAGAAACCCGGAAACGGUGACGACUCCUCGCAGAGAGAGCCAGCACAGGUGCUGCAUGGUUGUCGUCAGCUCGUGUCGUGAGAUGUUGCUUAAGUGCCGCACGAGCGC